GACGAACGCUGGCGGCGUGCUUAACACAUGCAAGUCGAACGGAAAGGCUUCUUUCGGGGGGUACUCGAGUGGCGAACGGGUGAGUAACACGUGAGUAACCUGCCCUUGACUUUGGGAUAACUUCAGGAAACUGGGGCUAAUACCGGAUAGGAGCUCCUGCCGCAUGGUGGGGGUUGGAAAGUUUCGGCGGUUGGGGAUGGAAUCGCGGCUUAUCAGCUUGUUGGUGGGGUAGUGGCUUACCAAGGCGUUGACGGGUAGCCGGCCAGAGAGGGUGACCGGCCACAUUGGGACUGAGAUGCGGCCCAGACGCCUACGGGAGGCAGCAGGGGGGAAUAUUGCACAAUGGGUGGAAGCCUGAUGCAGCAACGCCGUGUGCGGGAUGACGGCCUUGGGGUUGUAAACCGCUUUCGCUCAUGACGAAGCUUUGUGUGACGGUAGUGGGUAAAGAAGCACCGGCUAACUACGUG
rnacentral:rRNA from 1 species